rnacentral:rRNA from 1 species
AGGACGAACGCUGGCGGCGUGCUUAACACAUGCAAGUCGAGCGGAAAGGCCCUUCGGGGUACUCGAACGGCGAACGGGUGAGUAACACGUGAGCAAUCUGCCCUUAGCUUCGGGAUAGCCCCGGGAAACCGGGAUUAAUACCGAAUAUGACCUCGGCCGACAUCGGCCUUGGUGGAAAGUUUUUCGGCUAGGGAUGAACUCGCGGCCUAUCAGCUUGUUGGUGGGGUAAUGGCCUACCAAGGCGACGACGGGUAGCCGGCCUGAGAGGGCGACCGGCCACACUGGGACUGAGACACGGCCCAGACUCCUACGGGAGGCAGCAGUGGGGAAUAUUGCGCAAUGGGCGAAAGCCUGACGCAGCGACGCCGCGUGGGGGAUGAAGGCCUUCGGGUUGUAAACCCCUUUCAGCAGGGACGAAGCGAGAGUGACGGUACCUGCAGAAGAAGCGCCGGCUAACUACGUGCCAGCAGCCGC